GCAUUGCGCUAACAACCAGGAUUGUCACAACAGCACCGUUACAGUAUGUGCCUCUACUCACCACGAUAGUAUGUUUGAUAGUAAUGUUAAAAUGGCCAUAUUUAUUCAGCUACGGUGAGCGCGGAGCAUUGCGCUAACAACCAGGAUUGUCACAACAGCACCGUUACAGUAUGUGCCUCUACUCACCACGAUAGUAUGUUUGAUAGUAAUGUUAAAAUGGCCAUAUUUAUUCAGCUACGGUGAGCGCGGAGCAUUGCGCUACCAACCAGGAUUGUCACAACAGCACCGUUACAGUAUGUGCCUCUACUCACCAUGAGAUCUGUAAGAGCCGACAGUGCGAAUGUGAACCGAACCCUACAUGUACCGCCCCAGCCGACUGCCCGGCCAAUCAUUGCAAUCACAAUGGACGCCAAUGGACAUGCGAGGCGGGUACUUGCCACUGUCACCGCGUACAAUGAGUUUUGAAAGACAUGUGUGUAUAAUAAAUACAUAUAAACAUAAAACGUUA